rnacentral:rRNA from 14 species
UAACGACUCUCGGCAACGGAUAUCUCGGCUCUCGCAUCGAUGAAGAACGCAGCAAAAUGCGAUACUUGGUGUGAAUUGCAGAAUCCCGUGAAUCAUCGAGUUUUUGAACGCAAGUUGCGCCCGAAGCCUUUUGGCCGAGGGCACGUCUGCCUGGGUGUCACGC